UUUCCGGUUGAUCCGGCCGGAGGCCACCGCUAUUGGAGUUGGAUUAAGCCAUGCGAGUCGCGAGUCUUAGGGACUCGGCGUACCGCUCAGUAACACGUGGGUAACCUGCCCUAUGCUGGGGGACAACCUCGGGAAACUGAGAAUAAUACCCCAUAGUUCACCACGCCUGGAACGGUGGGUGGAUCAAAGCUCCGGCGGCAUAGGAUGGGCCUGCGGCGUAUCAGGUUGUAGGGGGUGUAAUGUACCCUCUAGCCCUCUACGCGUACGGGUGUUGAGAGACAUCGCCCGGAGAUGGAUUCUGAGACACGAAUCUAGACCCCACGGGGUGCAGCAGGCGCGAAAACUUGGCAAUGCGAGAAAUCGUGACCAGGGAACUCCAAGUGCAUCGGGUAAGACCGAUGCUUUUCUUGACUCUUCAAAGGUCUUGGAAUAAGGGGUGGGUAAGGACGGUGCCAGCCGCCGCGGUAAUACCGGCGCCCCAAGUGGUAGUCGCUUUUAUUGGGCCUAAAACGUCCGUAGCCGGUCUGGUACAUUCGUGGGUAAAUCAACCAGCUCAACUGGUUGAAUUCUGCGAGCACGGCCAGACUUGGGACCGGGAGAGGUGUGGGGUACUCUCAGGGUAGGGGUAAAAUCCUGUCAUCCUGAGAGGACCACCUGUUGCGAAGGCGCCACACUAGAACGGAUCCGACGGUCAGGGACGAAGCCUAGGGGCACGAACCGGAUUAGAUACCCA
rnacentral:rRNA from 1 species